rnacentral:rRNA from 1 species
AGCAGCCGCGGUAAUUCCAGCUCCAAUAGCGUAUAUUAAAGUUGUUGCAGUUAAAAAGCUCGUAGUUGAAUUUCGGAAUCAAUAUGUUGGUCGUGCCUUGGUACGUACUGGCAUUAUUGGUUUCUACCUUCUGAAGAACCUCGAUGUCAUUAAUUUGGUGUCUUGGGGAAUCAGGACUGUUACUUUGAAAAAAUUAGAGUGUUUAAAGCAGGCUCACGCUUGAAUACAUUAGCAUGGAAUAAUGAAAUAGGACGUUUGAUUCUAUUUUGUUGGUUUCUAGGAUUGACGUAAUGAUUAAUAGGGAUAGUUGGGGGCAUUAGUAUUCAAUUGUCAGAGGUGAAAUUCUUGGAUUUAUUGAAGACUAACUACUGCGAAAGCAUUUGCCAAGGAUGUUUUCAUUAAUCAAGAACGAAAGUUGGGGGCUCGAAGACGAUCAGAUACCGUCCUAGUCUCAACCAUAAACGAUGCCGACCAGGGAUCGGCGGAUGUUGCUCUAAGGACUCCGCCAGCACCUUCUG